CAUAUCAAUAAGCGGAGGAAAAGAAACCAACAGGGAUUGCCUCAGUAACGGCGAGUGAAGCGGCAACAGCUCAAAUUUGAAAUCUGGCCCUUUCAGGGUCCGAGUUGUAAUUUGCAGAGGGUGCUUUGGCGUCGGCCGUGGUCUAAGUUCCUUGGAACAGGACGUCACAGAGGGUGAGAAUCCCGUACGUGGCCGCCGGUCUUCGCCGUGUAAAGCCCCUUCGACGAGUCGAGUUGUUUGGGAAUGCAGCUCUAAAUGGGAGAUAAAUUUCUUCUAAAGCUAAAUAUUGGCCAGAGACCGAUAGCGCACAAGUAGAGUGAUCGAAAGAUGAAAAGCACUUUGGAAAGAGAGUCAAAAAGCACGUGAAAUUGUUGAAAGGGAAGCGCUUGCAGCCAGACGUGCCCGCAGUUGCUCACCCGGGCUCUCGCCCGGGGCACUCUUCUGCGGGCAGGCCAGCAUCAGUUCGGGCGGUUGGAUAAAGGCCUCUAUCACGUAUCUUCCUUCGGGAUGACCUUAUAGGGGAGGCGCAACACGGCCAGCCCGAACUGAGGACCGCGCAUUCGCUAGGAUGCUGGCGUAAUGGCUGUAAGCGGCCCGUCUUGAAACACGGACCAAGGAGUCUAACAUCUAUGCGAGUGUUUGGGUGUCAAGCCCGGACGCGCAAUGAAAGUGAACGGAGGUGGGAACCCCUCGGGGUGCACCAUCGACCGAUCCUGAAGUCUUCGGAUGGAUUUGAGUAAGAGCAUAGCUGUUGGGACCCGAAAGAUGGUGAACUAUGCCUGAAUAGGGUGAAGCCAGGGGAAACCCUGGUGGAGGCUCGCAGCGGUUCUGACGUGCAAAUCGAUCGUCAAAUUUGGGCAUAGGGGCGAAAGACUAAUCGAACCAUCUAGUAGCUGGUUCCUGCCGAUU
rnacentral:rRNA from 1 species